rnacentral:rRNA from 1 species
GACGAACGCUGGCGGCGUGCUUAACACAUGCAAGUCGAGCGGUAAGGCCCUUCGGGGUACACGAGCGGCGAACGGGUGAGUAACACGUGAGUAAUCUGCCCUUCACUCUGGGAUAACCGCUGGAAACGGUGGCUAAUACCGGAUAUGACCUCCUGCCGCAUGGUGGGUGGUGGAAAGUUUUUCGGUGGAGGAUGAGCUCGCGGCCUAUCAGCUUGUUGGUGGGGUGAUGGCCUACCAAGGCGACGACGGGUAGCCGGCCUGAGAGGGUGACCGGCCACACUGGGACUGAGACACGGCCCAGACUCCUACGGGAGGCAGCAGUGGGGAAUAUUGGACAAUGGGCGAAAGCCUGAUCCAGCAACGCCGCGUGAGGGAUGACGGCCUUCGGGUUGUAAACCUCUUUCAGUAGGGACGAAGCGAGAGUGACGGUACCUACAGAAGAAGGACCGGCCAACUACGUGCCAGCAGCCGCGGUAAUACGUAGGGUCCGAGCGUUGUCCGGAAUUAUUGGGCGUAAAGGGCUCGUAGGCGGUUUGUCGCGUCGGGAGUGAAAACUUGGGGCUUAACCCCAUUCGUGCUUCCGAUACGGGCAGACUAGAGGCAGGCAGGGGAGAACGGAAUUCCUGGUGUAGCGGUGGAAUGCGCAGAUAUCAGGAGGAACACCGGUGGCGAAGGCGGUUCUCUGGGCCUGUUCUGACGCUGAGGAGCGAAAGCAUGGGGAGCGAACAGGAUUAGAUACCCUGGUAGUCCAUGCCGUAAACGUUGGGCGCUAGGUGUGGGAUCCAUUCCACGGGUUCCGUGCCGCAGCUAACGCAUUAAGCGCCCCGCCUGGGGAGUACGGCCGCAAGGCUA